AAAUUGAAGAGUUUGAUCAUGGCUCAGAUUGAACGCUGGCGGCAGGCCUAACACAUGCAAGUCGAACGGUAACAGGAAGCAGCUUGCUGCUUUGCUGACGAGUGGCGGACGGGUGAGUAAUGUCUGGGAAACUGCCUGAUGGAGGGGGAUAACUACUGGAAACGGUGGCUAAUACCGCAUAACGUCGCAAGACCAAAGAGGGGGACCUUCGGGCCUCUUGCCAUCAGAUGUGCCCAGAUGGGAUUAGCUAGUUGGUGAGGUAACGGCUCACCAAGGCGACGAUCCCUAGCUGGUCUGAGAGGAUGACCAGCCACACUGGAACUGAGACACGGUCCAGACUCCUACGGGAGGCAGCAGUGGGGAAUAUUGCACAAUGGGCGCAAGCCUGAUGC
rnacentral:rRNA from 2 species